CGCCACUGGAUUGCGCAAUUAGUUAAGUAAUUGAUCUAAUUGCACUUUACAGUGGUGUU
rnacentral:pre_miRNA from 1 species